rnacentral:rRNA from 1 species
UGGGGGAUAUUGCACAAUGGGCGAAAGCCUGAUGCAGCGACGCCGCGUGAGGGAAGACGGUCUUCGGAUUGUAAACCUCUGUCUUGGGGGAAGAAAAUGACGGUACCCCAAGAGGAAGCUCCGGCUAACUACGUGCCAGCAGCCGCGGUAAUACAGAGGUCUCAAGCGUUGUUCGGAAUCACUGGGCGUAAAGAGUACGUAGGCUGUCAAGUAAGUCCGGCGUGAAAGGCAAGGGCUCAACCCUUGGACUGCGCCGGAUACUGCGUGACUAGAGUAAUGGAGGGGGAACCGGAAUUCUCGGUGUAGCAGUGAAAUGCGUAGAUAUUAGGAAGAACACCGGUGGCGAAGGCGGCUUGCUGGACUGUAACUGACGCUGAGUCACGAAAGCGUGGGGAGCGAACA